rnacentral:rRNA from 1 species
UACGAAGGGGGCUAGCGUUGCUCGGAAUCACUGGGCGUAAAGGGUGCGUAGGCGGGUCUUUAAGUCAGGGGUGAAAUCCUGGAGCUCAACUCCAGAACUGCCUUUGAUACUGAGGAUCUUGAGUUCGGGAGAGGUGAGUGGAACUGCGAGUGUAGAGGUGAAAUUCGUAGAUAUCCGCAAGAACACCAGUGGCGAAGGCGGCUCACUGGCCCGAUACUGACGCUGAGGCACGAAAGCGUGGGGAGCAAACCGG